GACAGAGGGGCAAGCGUUGCUCGGAAUUACUGGGCGUAAAGGGCGCGUAGGCGGGAUGGCAAGUCGGUCGUGAAAUCCCUCGGCUCAACCGAGGAACGUCGAUCGAUACUGCUGUUCUUGGAGGAUUGCAGAGGGAGACUGGAAUUCCCGGUGUAGCGGUGAAAUGUGUAGAGAUCGGGAGGAACACCGGUGGCGAAGGCGGGUCUCUGGGCAAUUCC
rnacentral:rRNA from 1 species